rnacentral:sRNA from 14 species
GUUGGCUCAACCAGCCUCAGCCCUCCUGCCUGCAGCCUGCCUGCAGCAGGCAGGCAGGCAGGUCGGGGCUACGGUCGAAAGUGAAGAGAAAUCGACUCACCCUAGGGUGCAUCUCCCAGCCCUAGGCUCUGAG